rnacentral:rRNA from 1 species
AUUGAACGCUGGCGGCAGGCCUAACACAUGCAAGUCGAACGGUAACAGGAAGACGCUUGCUUCUUUGCUGACGAGUGGCGGACGGGUGAGUAAUGUCUGGGAAACUGCCUGAUGGAGGGGGAUAACUACUGGAAACGGUAGCUAAUACCGCAUAACGUCGCAAGACCAAAGAGGGGGACCUUCGGGCCUCUUGCCAUCGGAUGUGCCCAGAUGGGAUUAGCUAGUAGGUGGGGUAACGGCCCACCUAGGCGACGAUCCCUAGCUGGUCUGAGAGGAUGACCAGCCACACUGGAACUGAGACACGGUCCAGACUCCUACGGGAGGCAGCAGUGGGGAAUAUUGCACAAUGGGCGCAAGCCUGAUGCAGCCAUGCCGCGUGUAUGAAGAAGGCCUUCGGGUUGUAAAGUACUUUCAGCGGGGAGGAAGGGAGUAAAGUUAAUACCUUUGCUCAUUGACGUUACCCGCAGAAGAAGCACCGGCUAACUCCGUG